rnacentral:ncRNA from 1 species
UGGUCCCGACCUUAUAGUCAGUUAUUACUUAACUUACACAUGCAAGUCUCCGCACCCCUGUGAGAACGCCCUUAAGCCCCUUCAAGGGGCCAGGAGCUGGUAUCAGGCUCAAAAAUUUGCCCAAGACACCUAGCUACGCCACACCCACACGGGAACUCAGCAGUGAUUAAUAUUGAAAAUAAGCGACAGCUUGAACCAGUUAAAGUAAAAAGAGCCGGCAAAUCUGGUGCCAGCCGCCGCGGUUACACCAUGUGACUCAAACUGACCUUUUGCGGCGUAAAGCGUGAUUAAAGAGCCCCCCCCCCCCCCACUGCAAUUAAAUCCGAACUGAGCUGUGACAUGUUUACUCCUGAGAAACCCAAAAACGAAAGUUAUUGCAAUCAUCGAACUUGAACUCACGACAGCCAAGAAACAAACUGGGAUUAGAUACCCCACUAUGCCUGGCCGUAAACUUUUAUUUACCCUCACCCCGCCUGGGAAUACGAGCAAAGCUUAAAACCCUAAGGACUUGACGGUACCCCACAUCCACCUAGAGGAGCCUGUCCUAUAAUCGAUAACCCUCGCUAAACCUCACCAUUUUUAGCAUAUCAGCCUGUAUACCUCCGUCGUCAGCUUACCCCGUGAGCGAUAACUAGUGAGCUAAAUGCCAUUACGCCAACACGUCAGGUCAAGGUGCAGCAUAUGAAAUGGGAAGAGAUGGGCUACACUAUCUAAAAUAGAUUACACGAAAGACUAUUCAUGAAACCCAGUCAGAAGGCGGAUUUAGAAGUAAAGAGGGACCAAAAUGCCCCCUUUAACUUGGCACUGGGGUGUGUACACACCGCCCGUCACCCUCUUCAAAGCCCCCACAAAGUCUUUAACACACCUAAGCAUCACAGAAGAGGCAAGUCGUAACAUGGUAAGUAUACCGGAAGGUGUGCUUGGAAA